UACGUAGGGGGCAAGCGUUGUCCGGAAUCAUUGGGCGUAAAGAGCGUGUAGGCGGCCCGGUAAGUCCGCUGUGAAAGUCCAGGGCUCAACCCUGGGAUGCCGGUGGAUACUGUCGGGCUCGAGUCCGGAAGAGGAGUGUGGAAUUCCUAGUGUAGCGGUGAAAUGCGUAGAGAUUAGGAAGAACACCAGUGGCGAAGGCGACUUACUGGACUGUAACUGACACUGAGGCAUGAAAGCGUGGGGAGCAAACAGG
rnacentral:rRNA from 1 species